AUUGAACGCUGGCGGCAGGCUUAACACAUGCAAGUCGAGCGGGGAUAGGGUGCUUGCACCUGAUUCCUAGCGGCGGACGGGUGAGUAAUGCUUAGGAAUCUGCCUAUUAGUGGGGGACAACAUUCCGAAAGGGAUGCUAAUACCGCAUACGCCCUACGGGGGAAAGCAGGGGAUCUUCGGACCUUGCGCUAAUAGAUGAGCCUAAGUCGGAUUAGCUAGAUGGUGGGGUAAAGGCCUACCAAGGCGACGAUCUGUAGCGGGUCUGAGAGGAUGAUCAGCCACACUGGGACUGUGACACGGCCCAGACUCCUACGGGAGGCAGCAGUGGGGAAUAUUAGACAAUGGGCGGAAGCCUGAUCCAGCCAUGCCGCGUGUGUGAAGAAGGCCUUAUGGUUGUAAAGCACUUUAAGCGAGGAGGAGGCUACUUUAGUUAAUACCUAGAGAUAGUGGACGUUACUCGCAGAAUAAGCACCGGCUAACUCUGUGCCAGCCGCCGCAGUAAAAC
rnacentral:rRNA from 1 species